UCCAGACUCCUACGGGAGGCAGCAGUGGGGGAUAUUGCACAAUGGGGGGAACCCUGAUGCAGCGACGCCGCGUGGGUGAAGGAGCGUUUCGGCGCGUAAAGCCCUCUCGGCAGGGAAGAAGGAGGACGGUACCUGACUAAGAAGCCCCGGCUAACUACGUGCCAGCAGCCGCGGUAAUACGUAGGGGGCAAGCGUUAUCCGGAUUUACUGGGUGUAAAGGGGGCGCAGACGGCAGCGCAAGCCAGGAGUGAAAGCCCGGGGCCCAACCCCGGGACUGCUCUUGGAACUGCGCGGCUGGAGUGCAGGAGGGGCAGGCGGAAUUCCUGGUGUAGCGGUGAAAUGCGUAGAUAUCAGGAGGAACACCGGUGGCGAAGGCGGCCUGCUGGACUGCGACUGACGUCGAGGCCCGAAAGCGUGGGGAGCAAACAGGAUUAGAUACCCCAGUA
rnacentral:rRNA from 1 species